UGAGCAACCUACCGAAAUGAGGGGGAUAGCCGGCCCAACGGCCGGGUAAUACCGCAUACGCUCGAGACCAGGCAUUUGGACUCGAGGAAACCUCCGGGGCAUUUCGAGGGGCUCGCGGCCUAUCAGCUAGUUGGUGAGGUAACGGCUCACCAAGGCGACGACGGGUAGCUGGUCUGAGAGGAUGGCCAGCCACAGUUGGGACUGAGACACCGGCCCAGACUCCGUACGGGAGGCAG
rnacentral:rRNA from 1 species